AUUGAACGCUGGCGGCAUGCUUUACACAUGCAAGUCGAACGGCAGCGGGGUAGUGCUUGCACUACUGCCGGCGAGUGGCGAACGGGUGAGUAAUAUAUCGGAACGUACCGAGUAAUGGGGGAUAACCAAUCGAAAGAUUGGCUAAUACCGCAUACGUCCUGAGGGAGAAAGCGGGGGAUCGCAAGACCUCGCGUUAUUCGAGCGGCCGAUAACUGAUUAGCUAGUUGGUGGGGUAAAGGCCUACCAAGGCGACGAUCAGUAGCGGGUCUGAGAGGACGAUCCGCCACACUGGGACUGAGACACGGCCCAGACUCCUACGGGAGGCAGCAGUGGGGAAUUUUGGACAAUGGGGGCAACCCUGAUCCAGCCAUGCCGCGUGUAUGAAGAAGGCCUUCGGGUUGUAAAGUACUUUUGUUAGGGAAGAAAAGGGAAGUGCUAAUACCACUUUUUGCUGACGGUACCUAAAGAAUAAGCACCGGUUAACUACGUG
rnacentral:rRNA from 1 species